GCAUCCGAAGUUUAUGAGAUGAGUUUUGGCCAUGUGAUCUGAUCGUAUCACUACGGAGGAUUGCUAUGAUCGAAUCGAAAAAUGCGAAGGUGUUGCUCCAAUUUUUGUUCGAAUAGUUGUGCUUCUGCUGCAGCAGAAUCUCUCGGCUAGAGAUUAGUUGAAAAUGGUGAGUAUGAUAAGUUGAGUCGCUUCGUGAUUUUAAUUUAUGAGUUUGGUUAACCGGACGAGGCUUGAUGGACGAUGAGUUUGGAAUAUUGUUCGGUUGUCGGGUAAUAUGCUCAGCUAUAAAUUAGCUUGGUAUGGAAUGGCGAGUAAUGCUAGUUCAAGUGGUUUCGAAACAUUUUAGCUGUAAAUUGAUUGUUGUCGAGUUGAAAUUUACAUCAAGAUAUUCGGAUUGAAAAUUACUUCAGCAUCGAAUGUCCACGUAUCAGCAAACGAGAGAUGAUAGAUUGACAAUUUCGAGA
rnacentral:misc_RNA from 1 species